AUGCAAGUCGAACGAAGCGCUUGAGAUUGAUUCUUCGGAAGAUUCUCUUGUGACUUAGUGGCGGACGGGUGAGUAACGCGUGGGUAACCUGCCUUAUACAGGGGGAUAACAGUCAGAAAUGGCUGCUAAUACCGCAUAAGCGCACAGAGCUGCAUGGCUCGGUGUGAAAAACUCCGGUGGUAUAAGAUGGACCCGCGUUGGAUUAGCUGGUUGGUGGGGUAACGGCCCACCAAGGCGACGAUCCAUAGCCGGCCUGAGAGGGUGAACGGCCACAUUGGGACUGAGACACGGCCCAGACUCCUACGGGAGGCAGCAGUGGGGAAUAUUGCACAAUGGGGGAAACCCUGAUGCAGCGACGCCGCGUGAAGGAAGAAGUAUCUCGGUAUGUAAACUUCUAUCAGCAGGGAAGAUAGUGACGGUACCUGACUAAGAAGCCCCGGCUAACUACGUGCCAGCAGCCGCGGUAAUACGUAGGGGGCAAGCGUUAUCCGGAUUUACUGGGUGUAAAGGGAGCGUAGACGGUGUGGCAAGUCUGAUGUGAAAGGCAUGGGCUCAACCUGUGGACUGCAUUGGAAACUGUCAUACUUGAGUGCCGGAGGGGUAAGCGGAAUUCCUAGUGUAGCGGUGAAAUGCGUAGAUAUUAGG
rnacentral:rRNA from 1 species